UGCAUCAACUCUGCUGAUAUCUACACGGUAGCAACGUUUUUGGUCUGACUUAUUUUGUAUGUGUAACUAAAUACAUCAAGGACACACAUAUAGAUACGUUCACACGUUAUCCAUGAAGCCACAGUUCGAUUCUGUUGAGCCUAGGAGAAAGAAGAGUUGGGAGCGUAUCAAACUAAACUGAAGAGUAAACCUUUCAACAUGACGAAAGAGAGCCAACCGCAGCAGAAGGCAGCACGACUGGAGAGGACUCAUGAACCGAAGGCAACAGAGUGAAGCUGGUGGCCAGCUUGUCCCAGAGGGUAGCAGAGCUGGUCAGUCAACUGGCCAGGGGGAACAGAGAGAAGGGCUCCCUGAGCUCCCAGCUGGACGAGACCCUAUGCAAGCUCACAUCACAGAAGCAGGACAUCAGCAGC